rnacentral:rRNA from 1 species
UACGGAGGGUCCAAGCGUUAUCCGGAAUCAUUGGGUUUAAAGGGUCCGUAGGCGGUUUUGUAAGUCAGUGGUGAAAGCCCAUCGCUCAACGGUGGAACGGCCAUUGAUACUGCAAGACUUGAAUUAUUGGGAAGUAACUAGAAUAUGUAGUGUAGCGGUGAAAUGCUUAGAGAUUACAUGGAAUACCAAUUGCGAAGGCAGGUUACUACCAAUAUAUUGACGCUGAUGGACGAAAAGCGUGGGG